UACGGGGGGGGCAAGCGUUGUUCGGAAUUACUGGGCGUAAAGAGCGCGCAGGCGGUCGUUCAAGUCGCGUGUGAAAGCCCCCGGCUCAACUGGGGAGGGUCACGCGAUACUGAUCGACUCGAAGGCAGGAGAGGGAAGUGGAAUUCCCGGUGUAGUGGUGAAAUGCGUAGAUAUCGGGAGGAACACCAGUGGCGAAGGCGACUUCCUGGCCUGUUCUUGACGCUGAGGCGCGAAAGCUAGGGGAGCGAACGGG
rnacentral:rRNA from 1 species